rnacentral:siRNA from 1 species
GUGGUUUACAACGUGCUUUGAUG